CAAUUUCCAUCACCAAUUUUUAACAUAAAACAUACUGACAUAACUGGGGAUGGUAUAAGGGAAUUAAUUAUCAUUAGUAUGAACGGCUUACAUAUACUACAGGCAAAUCUAAAUGUAACACGUGAAUUAUUUCAGAAAAAAAUUAAAGCCUUCACGCUUUUAUCAUCGAAACUUGACGUAAAUAACUAAUCUUUUGUAUUUAUUUAUUUGAAGGUUUAAGGUAAAAAGUGACUUCAAUGGAUUAUCAUAUUUUUUUUAAUGUACAUGC